AGCAUCCCUGGAACGCGUAUGGCGCGGAGAUAGGGGCGGUGGUCGCGAGGAGCACCGGUCGUCGGCGGUGUACGGGUCUCCUCCCUCGGACCGUGAAAAUCCCGGCUGAGGCUCCUGGUUCGGUGGUUUCCGAAGCCGGUUCGUACCGAGUAUCCGCAGCAGGUCUCCUAGGUGAACAGCCUCUGGUCACGUGGAACAAUGUAGGUAAGGGAACUCGGCAAACUCGAUCCGUAACUUCGGGACAAGGAUUGGCUCUGAGGAUCGAGGCCGGUCUGGCCGGGCGGCCGCAGCGCCUUCCGUGCGGGCGGGCAACCGUUCGCGGGGACCGUCCGCCGGGGCCGCGGCCGCGUCACUCCUGACGCCGGCCGGACGCGCCGUCNNNNNNNNNNCCCCGCCGGCGUUAUCCGCGGCAGAAGGGGCCGGCCAACCCCGGGAGGUCCGCGGGGCGGCGCUCGCCCGGCGCUCUCGGGCGUCGGGCCGCGGCGCUGCCCCGUCUCCCAAACGCUCUGCGCUCGCUUGCCCUCGCGGGCGGCGGCCGGGCAAAUUAACGACCGCGCCAACAAACCCUGGUCGUGCUCAGAACUGUUCUCGGACCCGGGGAAUCCGACUGUUUAAUUAAAACAGAGCAUCGUGAAGGCCGCACAUUACCGGCGUAGACGCGAUGUGAUUUCUGCCCAGUGCUCUGAAUGUCAACGUGAAGAGAUUCAAGCAAGCGCGGGUAAACGGCAGGAGUAACUAUGACUCUUUUAAGGUAGCCAAAUGCCUCGUCAUCCAAUUAGUGACGCGCAUGAAUGGAUCAACGAGAUUCCCUCUGCUUCUGUCCCUAUCUACUAGUGUCUUCGCGACUCCCGUAGAGAGCGGACGUGCGCAGCUUUU
rnacentral:ncRNA from 1 species